UGGCUCUCGCAUCGAUGAAGAACGCAGCGAAAUGUGAUAAGUAAUGUGAAUUGCAGAAUUCAGUGAAUCAUCGAAUCUUUGAACGCACCUUGCGCUCUCUGGUAUUCCGGAGAGCAUGCCUGUUUCAGUGUCAUGAACUCUUCAACCCACCCUUUUCUUAAUGAUUAGGUGUUGGUGCUUGGAUUUUGAGUCUUUGCUAUUAGUUUAGCUGACUCGUAAUACAUUAGCAUUUUCGAAUUCGUAAUCGGAUUGACUUGGCGUAAUAGAUUAUUCGCUGAGGAUCAUUCGCAAGAAUGGCCGAGACAAGACGAGAGAAGCUUCUAAUCUUUUCUCUUUUUGAGAAAACCUUCAUAUUUAGACCUGAAAUCAGACAGGAUUACCCGCUGA
rnacentral:misc_RNA from 1 species